rnacentral:rRNA from 1 species
UACGGAGGGUGCGAGCGUUAAUCGGAAUUACUGGGCGUAAAGCGUGCGUAGGCGGCAGCUUAAGUUGGAUGUGAAAGCCCUGGGCUCAACCUAGGAACUGCAUCCAAAACUGGGCAGCUAGAGUAUGGGAGAGGAGUGUGGAAUUUCCUGUGUAGCGGUGAAAUGCGUAGAGAUCGGAAGGAACACCAGUGGCGAAGGCGACUCCCUGGAUUGAUACUGACACUGAGGUGCGAAAGCGUGGGGAGCAAACAGG